rnacentral:rRNA from 1 species
UGCAGCGACGAAUAUUGCACAAUGGGCGCAAGCCUGAUGCAGCGACGCCGCGUGUGGGAGGAAGCCCCUCGGGGUGUAAACCACUGUCAGGGACCACCAAGCGACCCGGGCGAAUAGUCCGGGAAGUUGAGGAAUCCCAGAGGAAGUCACGGCUAACUUCGUGCCAGCACGCCGCGGUAAGACGAAGGUGGCAAGCGUUGUUCGGAAUCACUGGGCUUAAAGAGCACGUAUGCGGAUUGUCAAGCACUUUGUGAAAUCCCUCGGCUUAACCGAGGAAUUGCUUGGUGAACUGGCAGUCUUGAUGCAGGUAGAGGCACACGGAACUCUUGGUGGAGCGGUGGAAUGCGUAGAUAUCAAGAGGAACGCCAGAGGCGAAAGCGGUGUGCUGGGCCUGACCUGACGCUGAGGUGCGAAAGCCAGGGGAGCAAACGGGAUUAGAUACCCCGGUAGUCCUGGCCAUAAACGAUGUCCACUAGGCCUGAGGUGUUCUGACACACUUCCGGCCGAAACAAAAGCGUUAAGUGGACCGCCUGGGGAGUACGGUCGCAAGGCUAAAACUCAAAGGAAUUGACGGGGGCUCACACAAGCGGUGGAGCAUGUUGCUUAAUUCGAUGCAACGCGAAGAACCUUAUCCUGGGCUUGACAUGUAGGAAUACCUCCCUGGAAACAGGGUUGGUUGCCCUUCGGGGUGAAGCCUACACAGGUGCUGCAUGGCUGUCGUCAGCUCGUGUCGUGAGAUGUUGGGUUAAGUCCCGUAACGAGCGAAACCCUUGUCGUUAGUUGCCAGCGCGUUAUGGCGGGGACUCUAACGAGACUGCCGGUGUUAAACCGGAGGAAGGUGGGGAUGACGUCAAGUCCUCAUGGCCUUUAUGCCCAGGGCUGCAAACGUGCUACAAUGGCGUGUACAAACCGACGCAAGACCGCGAGGUGGAGCAAAUCGGAAAAAGCACGCCCCAGUUCGGAUUGGAGUCUGCAACUCGACUCCAUGAAGUCGGAAUCGCUAGUAAUCGCAGAUCAGCAUGCUGCGGUGAAUAUGUUCCUGAGCAUUGUACACACCGCCCGUCAAGUCAUGGAAGCCGGGAGCACCCG